AAUAUUUUAGAAAAAAGAGGGGAAGAAGUGUAAGUAGUUUAUUUGGGUACCUUCUGCGGAAAAACAUCAAAACCUGGGACUCUUCUCCGAGAGCUCAAAUUGUGCAGGCGAAAUGGAAUCUGAGGGAGAUUUCUCCCAUCUGCACCCAAAGCGUAACAAACCUACUAACCAUGCUUCCACUUCAAUUCAAGAAUCAAGCUUAAAAAUCCCUGUUCUGCCAGAAGAACUCAUCACUGAAAUACUUUUAAACCUACCAGUAAAAUCCCUUUUGCAAUUCAGGUGUGUUUCAAAAUCUUGGCUUUCUUUAAUCUCUAGUCCUAAAUUUGUCAAGACCCAUCUCAGUUUAUGUGCUAAUAACAAGGCCUGCACCUACCAUAGACUUAUCUUGUCAUUGGUUCAACCAGUCACUACCUAUUCCCUUAUUUAUGAUCUUAUGGACUUUUCCCUUGGUACUUUACUUUAUGACUCUGUUACUAGGGCAUUUGACUUGGAUUAUCCUAUGAAAGGCCCCCACAAGUCUUUUGACGUUGUGGGUUCUGUCAAUGGGUUGAUUUGUUUUACUUUUGACCAAAAAGACUUAUUUCUCUGGAACCCAUCAAUUAGGAAGUUCAAGAAAUUGCCUGAUUUUAUUCCUAAAUUGAAUUUUCGUUACUGUGUCAUGUAUGGUUUUGGAUAUGAUGAGGUUCAUGAUGAUUACAAGGUAGUGGCUGUUUCCCGGACUUCGAGUUAUGAUAUUUCACAUCAAGUUGAAGUUGAAGUCAAAAUAUAUAGUGUAAAUAGUGAUUCUUGGAGAAGUACCCAUGAUUUCAAUAAUGGGAGGAAACUCAUUAAGUGGGGUAUGUCUGUGAAUGGGAAGCUUCAUUGGGCUAGUACUACUUCUCACAAGUUUGAUUCUUAUAAUGUUUGGUCUAUCCAAUCUAUUGAUUUGGCUGAUGGGAAAUUGGGAAAGGUGGAUAAACCCUGCUAUGGAGAAGGAGAUUUUGAUCUUGAAAUGUGCCUGGGAGUGUUGGGAAGUGAUCUUUCUGUGUUUUGUAGUUAUCAGAGAACUCAAACCGAUGUGUGGGUUAUGAAGGAGUAUGGGAUUAAAGAAUCUUGGACAAAGAUGUGUAUCAUCAAGUAUCCUAAUUAUCUUGUGGGGAAUCUGCUCUGUCCACCCUUUUGCAUGUCAAGUGAAGGUGAAAUUUUAUUUGAGCAUGGAUUAACUUUCAUAAUUUACAAUCCAAAGGAUGACUCGUUCAGAUACCCUACACUUACGAACUGUGAUUCCUUUUAUUGGGAGAACAUGUACAUUGAAAGCCUAGUUUGGCCCAUUUUUACAGAAUGAACUAAAGAUGCAUCAACAACGAUAGCUUUGCAGACGAAGACAAUUAGUAAGAGUUCUCUAUACAUUUCUCUCAAGUGCUGUUAAAUUUUGUUUCUAUUGUCAAAUAUAGCACAAGUCACUGCAUUUUUUAACCCUAUCUGCCUGGAAAUUUUCUUACUCUUUUAUCCUUUUUGCUUCAUGAGACAACAAUUUUUUUGCAAGAACAGUUAUUGGGUGGAGGUGCUUGGUGUCUUCAUCGACAAACUAAAUUGCAGUCAACUUUGUUUCUCUUCUUGACCAGUAUUUUAAGGGGGAUGUAGUGCCUCUAAACAGAGUAAGAACAAAGAGCACCUGGGACAUGGAAAUCAUGGCAGGUGAAUGCGCCAAUAAUGCCUGAUUGUAGUCCUUGCCAGGGUUUCUGUUUGAUCUAGGGGGCUUCUCCAAUAAUCUUCAUUAGGUGAAAAGCUGAUAGGGGUAAAGGAGGAUACACAGGAAUUACGGAACAACGGUUAAGAUCUGAUGUAGCAUCUAGUUUUGGUACUUUUCUCCUGCACUAAUACUGGUGUUUUCCUGGCUAGCUAUGUAUUUCUCUUUAGGUCUAUGUUCUCAUUGUUCUGCUUAUGUGGCCAAUCAAAGGUUGAAUAUCUUCCACGUAGACAGUGAUGUUGACAUAAGCAAUGGUACGUUGCAACGAUAGAGCAAUUUAGGAAGCGAGUUUAGCUGUUGUGAUCAUGAGAGUGCGGUGGGAGUACCAUGGACAGGGCAGUGUAGGAGAAAAAGAUAUGGAGAUGAACCGAAGGUCUUGUCUGGUUUAAACUUGAAGUCAAGUUUUUUCCAGUCGAAACGUUGAACAAGCUUCGCAAUCACUUGAAUAUUAUAUGUAGUUUCAUAUUGAGAUUGAUCUACUAGAGGUAACUGACUUAAAUCGAAAACAAAAGGUUGCCGAAAUUGAAACAGAGAAAAGACACAAAUUGUUAAAACUGCAUUGGAGUAGAUGAAGUAGAGUGGUGGAUAUGAAGGUCAAUUAAAGGGCAAUCCCACUAGUUAGAAAACAAUUACUUCUUCAGUACUGCUUUAAAGUGGGAAGACACAAGUUAUAUCAUCGGUCUGUGCUUCUUGUGGUAUACAUCAGUUAGAACUUAGAAGAGACCUCAUGUUCCUUGCUGGUUUUUGGUUCCAGUAUGAACAUAUGCCAUUUAGGCACAAUGUAUCACUUAUGGUUAGCUGAAGGAAACUUUAUUUUAGUUUUUAAUGAUAAUACUUUAUUUUAACAUCUUUAAUUUAAAUAUUGAUGUUUCUUGUUGAAGAUGUUCUAUAGGUUUAAUUGCUGUUUGUUUGUUAAAUUAUAUUAAAGUAUGUAUUAACUCUACUCCAAUUAUAUAAAAAAUCUUUCAAAAAUAUUGUUACAAUUUAUAACCCCGCGAGGGGAAAACAAACUAAAACAGUUCCUUAAGUAUAGAUAUAUGUAUUUUGCUGACUGAUGCGGUUGAGAUGAAAGACUACAGGUCUAGUGGGGAGCUCUUACAACAUAACUGUGAAGCUUCUUGCAGAAAGGCUAAAGGCUGUGAUCGAUCAAUUGGUGCCAAAAAAUCAGAUGGCUUUCAUUAAAUGUAGACAAAUAGUGAGUUGGUUCUAAUAAGUUUAUGUGUAACUUAAACAUUGAGAACGUGUACAAUCCUGUGAAUUGGGUUUUUCUUUUUAAUAUGCUGAAGUAGAUGGGCCUUGGAGACAA